AGGAACUAGAUCGGGGGGUUAGUGGUCCCCUACCCAGAGAAUCCACUUUACUCUGGAUCGAAAAGCAUUGAGGCGGCCCAAAGGUAAUUAUUGCAUCAAAAAUUUUGCCUUGAGGAUCAGACUGCAAAUGCUUUCUAUUUAGAAACCCGCUAGGACAGGAAUGGAGCAACGGUAACUAUUUAGAAGGUAGUUUGUGGCCACCUGGUCUGAGUAAAAUUUUGAUUAACAAUAGUUGUCCUGUAAGUCCACUCAAUGAAGUUCCU
rnacentral:SRP_RNA from 1 species